GGGGGUGUAGCUCAGCUGGGAGAGCAGCAGGCUGUAGUAAAUGCAAUUCUUCUGAAGGUCCCGCGUUCGAUCCGCAUGUUUUUUCU